rnacentral:tmRNA from 2 species
GGGGAUGUUUUAAAUCGACAGAAUUACGGUUUAAAGUAUUCAAGCCGAGCGUUGGCUGCCGCCGCUCGCUAAUCACCAAACAGCCGUCAAAAUAAGUGCCAACUCACUUAUGUCCAGAGUAAAGAGCGCUUUUGCCUCUUUAUCUUUGGCGCCCGCUUUGGCCUAAAACCCAAAGCCAUCAGCCCGGCCACGCCCGAUAGCCGGAAACUGGUGUCAAACCUCGGGCUUGGGCGAAAUAAGGUCUUGAUAUUUUGCCGAAACUAAAAGACUUUGGCUUGCGGGGUUUUUUCAAUUUUCGACCCGCCGGCCGAAACUAAAAAUUGAAUAAGCUUGUAAAUCUAUUUUGGGCCCGGUUCUGGACAGGGGUGCGAUUCCCCUCAUCUCCACCA